GACGAACGCUGGCGGCGUGCCUAAUACAUGCAAGUCGAGCGGACAGAAGGGAGCUUGCUCCCGGAAGUUAGCGGCGGACGGGUGAGUAACACGUGGGAAACCUACCCUGUGGAUCGGGAUAACAUCGAGAAAUCGGUGCUAAUACCGGAUAAUCAUUUGAAGUGCAUGCUUCGAAUGUAAAAGAUGGCUCCGGCUAUCACUACGGGAUGGGCCCGCGGCGCAUUAGCUAGUUGGUAAGGUAAUGGCUUACCAAGGCAACGAUGCGUAGCCGACCUGAGAGGGUGAUCGGCCACACUGGGACUGAGACACGGCCCAGACUCCUACGGGAGGCAGCAGUAGGGAAUCUUCCGCAAUGGACGAAAGUCUGACGGAGCAACGCCGCGUGAGUGAUGAAGGUUUUCGGAUCGUAAAGCUCUGUUGUUAGGGAAGAACAAGUGCCGUUUGAAUAAGGCGGCACCUUGACGGUACCUAACCAGAAAGCCACGGCUAACUACGUGCCAGCCGCCGCCGUAAAAC
rnacentral:rRNA from 1 species